AUUAGCCCGCUCUCGACGAUCGACCACGCGUGAGUGCCGGCGAGGCGAGCGUCCGUCGGGCGUCGAGCGUCGGGAGGGGAGCCCGUCGAGGGUCCCCCAGGAACUCGGCUCUCAGUCGCAGCUCGGCUGUCAGUGCGCGACGAUCGAGCCGCGUUCAUCUGCCCGCGUUGCGCUUCGCGCAUACACACACGCACAUACAAACACCCAUACAUACAUUAUAUGUAAAUGUAAAAAAAUACAUACAUAACACGUACGCACGCACGUUUCACGCGUCCGCACGCCGCGGUGUGUAGGACGUGCCCGACACGUCCAUUCGAAUCGUAGAUCGUACACGCGGACGCGAGGGUGGAAAACGGUCGCCGUGGUUUUUGUACAUACGGUAUAAGGGUGCACGUGAGGGAGAGAGAGAGAGAGAGACUGAGAGAGACAGAGAGAGAGAGAGAGAGAGAGAGAAAAGGUAGGGAGAAAGGAAGAGGGCUGCAGAACGGGUGGUCCUGACAGCGAACGGUGACGAGAGAAGACCGACCGUCCUGAACGAACGAGCAUUAAACGCUAAGGAGAGUAAUAGGGGCCCCCGUACGUAAUUGGCACACUAGAAUGAGCUUUUUGUCCGAAAUAAAAGAAAAAAA